UGGAGAUACGAGAAUUCGAAUCACGGAACUUUCACAUACGAAACCAACGCUCUACCUCUGAGCUACAUCCCC